rnacentral:rRNA from 1 species
UGAAUACGAGAUGCUACGGCGUCGAAGCAGUGUAUGUCAGACUUCCAAGAAAAGCUCGCAAGGUCAUAAAUAAAGAAUGCCUGUACCAUAACCGACACAGGUGGGUAGGUAGAGUAUACUAAGGGGCGCGAGAUAACUCUCUCUAAGGAACUCGGCAAAAUAACUCCGUAACUUCGGGAGAAGGAGUGCCUUCUAUUAGAAGGUUGCAAUAACAAGAUCCAAGCAACUGUUUAUCAAAAACACAGGUCUCCGCUAAGUCGUAAGACGAUGUAUGGGGGCUGACGCCUGCCCAGUGCCAGAAGGUUAAAGAAGUUGGUUAGCUUUGGCGAAGCUGAUGACUGAAGCCCUGGUGAACGGCGGCCGUAACGAUAACGGUCCUAAGGUAGCGAAAUUCCUUGUCGGGUAAGUUCCGACCCGCACGAAAGGCGUAAUGAUUUGGAUACUGUCUCGGAGAGGGACUCGGUGAAAUAGACUUGUCUGUGAAGAUGCGGACUACCUGCACCAGGACAGAAAGACCCUAUGAAGCUUUACUGUAACUUGAAAUUGAAAUUGGACUUUAUUUGCGCAGCAUAGGUGGAAGGCGUUGAGAGUGCUCUUGCGGGAGUACUGGAGCCAUCAGUGAGAUACCACUCCUAUAAUGUUAGAUUUCUAACUUUGGAUCAUAAUCUGGUCAAAGAACAGUUUCAGGCGGGCAGUUUGACUGGGGCGGUCGCCUCCCAAAUGGUAACGGAGGCGUACAAAGGUUUCCUCUGAACGGGUAGAAAUCGUAUCUAGAGUGUAAAGGCAUAAGGAAGCUUGACUGUGAGACCUACAAGUCGAGCAGGGACGAAAGUCGGUCUUAGUGAUCUGACGGUGCUGAGUGGAAAGGCCGUCACUCAACGGAUAAAAGUUACUCUAGGAUAACAGGCUGAUCUCCCCCAAGAGUUCACAUCGACGGGGAGGUUUGGCACCUCGAUGUCGGCUCAUCGCAUCCUGGGGCGGUAGUACGUCCCAAGGGUUGGGCUGUUCGCCCAUGAAAGCGGUACGCGAGCUGGGUUCAGAACGUCGUGAGACAGUUCGGUCCAUAUCCGGUGUAGGCGUUAGAAUAUUGAGAGGAGCCUUCUUUAGUACGAGAGGACCGAGAAGGACAUACCUCUGGUGUACCAGUUAUCGUUCCAACGGUAAACGCUGGGUAGCUAUGUAUGGAGAGGAUAACCGCUGAAAGCAUCUAAGUGGGAAGCCCACCUCAAGAUGAGUAUUCUCU